rnacentral:lncRNA from 1 species
CAACUAUUAAUAAAUCAUUUUCUCCGACGAGGCCUGCGGAAUGAAGAUUUCAAUUCGUAAUUAUUCGCAUCGAAAAUUUGUCAAGUCGAAUUAACUUCAAUGAAUAUGUUAACACCUUCGCAUUACAAUCAUGUGAUUGAUUUCAGCCACAUACAAACAAUUUUAAAUUUUAUAAAUAUAUAUAUAUAUAUAUAUAUAUAUAUAUAUAUAUAUAUAUAUAUAUAUAUAAUUCAGCAUUAAUAUUCAGUUGCAAAAUAUACAUUUUGCUUUAAUCUAACGAUUAGUUCAUCAAAUCACCACUCACAGUGACAGCUGCCAAAUCAAAACUUAUAAUGCCAAAAUCACAAUGCAGUAUACCCUUAUACGCAGUUUAGCAACAAAGAUUUCAGCCACAUACAAACAAUUUUAAUUUUUUUUUAAAAUAUAAUUCAGCAUUAUUAUUCAGUAGCAAAAUAUACAUUAUGCUUUAAUUUAACGAGUAAAUCAUCAAAUCAUCAAUCACAGGCACAGCUGCCAAAUCAAAGCAUAUAAUCCCAAAAUCACAGUGCAGUAUACACUAAUACGCAAUUUAGCAACUAAAAAUUCCACUUAACUUUAAAACAAAUGGAAGAAUCACAGAUAACAACCGAAUCGACACACACAGAUACCUGCGUCUGCGUGGUUGGGGUAGAGAAAAGGAGACGAUGAUACCUACGGUGGACGAAGCAUUGAUUUUGAACGAAAUCGAAGUGGACACCCAACACGACGCCGUAUAAUGUGGCGACGCGACGGUGGCCCGAUUGAAUCUCCCGGCGAAU